rnacentral:misc_RNA from 1 species
ACACCCUCAAGCUCUGCUUGGUGUUGGGCGUCUGUCCCGCUUCGUGCGCGGACUCGCCCCAAAGGUAUUGGCAGCGGUCUUGCCAGCUUCUCGCGCAGCACAUUGCGCUUCUCGAGGCUCCGGCGGAUCGGCGUCCAUCAAGCCCACAUCACA